GUGCACCAGUCGCGAAACCUCCGCAAUACACGAAAGUGUGACGGGGCCAUCCCGAGUGCCGUCCGCUGAGGACGGCUUUUCCCCAGUGUACACAGCUGGGGGAAUAAGGAGAGGGCAAGCCUGGUGUCAGCCGCCGCGGUAAUACCAGCUCUCCGAGUGGUGGGGACGCUUAUUGGGCCUAAAGCAUCCGUAGCCGGCUGGGCAAGUCCUCCGUUAAAUCCAACGAUUCAAUCGUUGGGCUGCGGGGGAUACUGUCCAGCUUGGGGGCGGGAGAGGCCGACGGUAUUCCCGGGGUAGGGGUGAAAUCCUAUAAUCCCGGGAGGACCACCAGUGGCGAAGGCUGUCGGCUAGAACGCGCCCGACGGUGAGGGAUGAAAGCUGGGGGAGCGAACCGGAUUAGAUA
rnacentral:rRNA from 1 species